rnacentral:lncRNA from 1 species
CCAUUGCUACAACUCCAAUGGCAAUAUUCUCUCAGUUUUGAACGCUCAAGGCAUCUCAGUCAAGACGCAAUGAAAAGACUGGUAUUUUCUCUUGACAAACGAAGAAAAAUAUAAACUAAACGGAGGAGGGAAGGAAGGAUUCGGUGCUUCACAGACCACACAGAUAAACCUGGCCAAAGUGCAGUAUAACUGCAGCCUGAGUCACGUCAUCAGUAGAGCAACGUGUCCUUUACUGCAUGCUAUCAGCAAUACAUAUAACUGAGGUCCUUCAAGAAUGUCAGAUCCCACUGCCAUCAGGCAACCAGCAUCAAAGAACAGCACCUCCCAUAACGAGUGAGCAGCACAAACUGUGAGCAGUUGGCUCACCCAGCAGUGAGCACCGCAGCAGCUGUUCCACGGUGACAGCACUGCCUCUCCAACAGCGUUCUGAGCACAGAUUUACAGAUGGCAAUG